AUAAAUAAAUAUCCCCAUCUUCCCUUGUAUUAUUCACUCAUAACUCACUAUAAGAAAUAUGUUAAAAUACCUCCUAUUUUUUACAAGAAACAGCGACAUGUUACAAUACAAUUAUGAUACAUACAUAAGAUUAUUUAGUCUUGCGUGACCAUUGAUACAAUGCCGAAGUAUACUGGUAAUGAACAUAUUGUAUUCUAAGUGAUGGAACUGUUUAUUGAAAAUGUAGACAUUAUGUUCUGAUUAAUUUAUCUCAAGUUUACAUAACACAUUUAUCAACAACACAAUAUUUCAUUGGGUGGCGUCUCCUGCAGUCUACAGGCGACAGGUUUAUUCAAAGCUAAUAUGUAUAGUAGUGCCAGUGCAGUCAAACAGGUAUAAACCAUCAGAGGUAGGGUUAAGUACAUGUUUGCAUAUGUGCUAAUGUUGCAUUACUUAUUGUGCUGUAGAUGGGGAUACAGCUGCAGUUUUACUCCCAGAAGCAGUGACACCAACAGAAAGUGCCUUUUGUGACAAUGUGUUGCAGGGACAGGAGCAUGGAUGUCUUAAUAUCCCUGGUUGGGAUACUACAUACAGCGCCAAAAGUAACCGAGGCCUCAACAUGUACAAG